rnacentral:lncRNA from 1 species
GAUCCUAAAAAUAAUAAAAAAUAUCUAAUAUUUUUUAAGAUUUGUAAACUACUAUUGGAUCUGCAUCAAAAACUUCUUUCAAGUUAUAGUUCCACUUACAUGCUUGACUUGUAAAUACAAACUUCAAUAGAAUUAAGAAGUGGAAGCAACAUUUGAAGCUUUGAAGACAACUUUUAUUUUUACACCAAUCUUAUAUUGUGUCAA